AUACGGAGGAUCCGAGCGUUAUCCGGAUUUAUUGGGUUUAAAGGGUGCGCAGGCGGGAGAUUAAGUCGGCGGUGAAAUUUUGCAGCUCAACUGUAAAAGUGCCUUCGAAACUGGUUUCCUUGAGUGUAGAUGAAGUAGGCGGAAUUUGUGGUGUAGCGGUGAAAUGCUUAGAUAUCACGAGGAACUCCGAUUGCGCAGGCAGCUUACUAAACUACUACUGACGCUCAGGCACGAAGGCGUGGGGAUCAAACAGGAUUAGAUACCCUGGUAGUCCACGCAGUAAACGAUGAUUACUAGCUGUUUGCGAUACAAUGUAAGCGGCUGAGCGAAAGCGUUAAGUAAUCCACCUGGGGAGUACGUUCGCAAGAAUGAAACUCAAAGGAAUUGACGGGG
rnacentral:rRNA from 1 species